UGCCCAGCAACUCCUAUCCCUACCUCCACGCGGUACCGGCCGGAAACUAUGAGCAACCUUAGGGAAGAUCGGGUAACCAACCCCGGUGGGAACUUUGGUCGACAGGGAAGG
rfam:Aedes albopictus isolate Foshan contig65655, whole genome shotgun sequence.